rnacentral:lncRNA from 1 species
UUAUUAAAAAUAUAAUCAUUUUCCCAAACUUAUCCUUGUCGUUUUUUAAAGGAAAAAAUAAAUUAGAAAAGUCUAUGGUCAUGAUAAUUUUAUUUCGUCAGUUCCUUAUAUAUUUAUUUCAUUUAUUUCAUACAUAUCUGUCUUAGGGUGAUAUUGUUUUGUAAAGAUAUAAUAGUAAGGUACUAUAAAAAGAAAAGAGGGGUGUGUACUUCCCAGUGUAAUAAUUAUAUGUAGAAGAAAACUAACAAGAGGAAAAAUGACAAAGAGCAAGGCGCUGGUUGUGGGGNN